GGGGGUGUGAGGUGGAAUUAAAGCCAGCCUUGACUGGAGUCCUGGGGCUGGAUUCUGCACUGUGCUCCGCUGUGUCAUUGCACCUUCUCGUUUCUGCUCUUUCUGCUGCUUCAUCCUCUUCAUGCUCUAACCCCCCCAGCGGAUGCUGACCCUGCGGGAGGCGGCGCAUGCUCCUUCCCCGCUGCUGCUCCUCCAGCUCCAUCUCUCCAUCUUCCUGGCUCUUCCUGGCCUUUCCUGGCACGGGACCCAAGCUCUGAGCUCUUGCACUUUUCUAGGGUGCCAUCCUGCUCCUCCUCAUCACCUGGGAGCAGUGGGCAUGGUCUUGUCCUCCGGCUGCUGUGGGCCUGGGCCGCCCCGGUCAGUGUGGCGGGGUCGGCAGCACAGUUCCCGCUCCAAUGUGGUGCCGGCAGGUGCAGCCCUGGAGGCUGGUGUGGGCGCCGCCUGGAAGUUGGUGUGGCGCCCCCUGGAGGCUGGUGUGGGUGCCGCCUGGAGAUUGGUGCGGCGCCCCCUGGAGGCUAGUGUGGGUACCGCCUGGACGUUGGUAAGGCGCCUUCUAGAGGCUGGUGUGGCGCCGCCUGGAGGUUGCUGUGGCGCUUGUUGUUGCCCAGCGCCCUGCUGGGGCUUCCUGUCUGCGUCGCUCCUGCCCACUUCCGGGGCGGCAGGGCGGGGUUCCACUCAGCUGCAUCUUCUCGCGAGGCGCCUUUGCUCCUCCGGGAAGUUAGCGGUGCAGCUGCCGAGGCCUCUGCUGCCCGGGUCGCCGUAUUCCCCGCGGGGGUCAGCCGGGCUCUCGCCUCAGGCCGCCCACCCCGCUCCGGGCAGCUGCCACCGCCUCUCCCUUUCUGCUGAGGGAGGAGGCGAUGGAGCGACCUCCAGGCACCGGGCAGCUUCCGCUCCCCCAGCAGCCGGCGGGGCGGAGGAGAAAGACGCCAGGAAGCAGAACGGUCCCGCCGGCAGGAGGGUCGCCCCAGGCCUGCGCCCCCUGGUUCCUGCCCCCUGGCAGCGGCCGGGACCCUCCCUGCCAUGCUGCUCCCCGGAAAGCUCUAAGGCUCUCGGGCCUGCAGGGAGGGACACUUUCUUCCUCACUGUGAGUCUGCAAACUCGGGGCCAG
rnacentral:lncRNA from 13 species